rnacentral:rRNA from 1 species
GGGUCAGUAGGUUGGUCGUGCCACCGGUACGUACUGGUCUCACUGAUUCCUCCUUCCUGAAGAAUCGUAAUGCCAUUAAUUUGGUGUUGCGGGGAAACAGGACUGUUACUUUGAAAAAAUUAGAGCGUUUAAAGCAAGCUAACGCUUGAAUACAUUAGCAUGGAAUAAUGAAAUAGGACGAUCGAUCCUAUUUUGUUGGUUUCUAGGAUUGACGUA